rnacentral:rRNA from 1 species
GAGUUUGAUCUUGGCUCAGAGUGAACGCUGGCGGUAGGCCUAACACAUGCAAGUCGAACGGCAGCACAGUAAGAGCUUGCUCUUAUGGGUGGCGAGUGGCGGACGGGUGAGGAAUACAUCGGAAUCUACUUUUUCGUGGGGAGUAACGUGGGGAACGUUACGCUAAUACCGCAUACGACCUACGGGUGGAAAGCAGGGGAGUCUUCGGACCUUGCGCGAUUGAAUGAGCCGAUGUCGGAUUAGCUAGUUGGCGGGGUAAAGGCCCACCAAGGCGACGAUCCGUAGCUGGUCUGAGAGGAUGAUCAGCCACACUGGAACUGAGACACGGUCCAGACUCCUACGGGAGGCAGCAGUGGGGAAUAUUGGACAAUGGGCGCAAGCCUGAUCCAGCCAUACCGCGUGGGUGAAGAAGGCC